rnacentral:rRNA from 1 species
UACGGGGGGGGCAAGCGUUGUUCGGAAUUACUGGGCGUAAAGGGCUCGUAGGCGGCCAACUAAGUCAGACGUGAAAUCCCCCGGCUUAACCAGGGAACUGCGUCUGAUACUGGAUGGCUUGAGUUUGGGAGAGGGAUGCGGAAUUCCAGGUGUAGCGGUGAAAUUCGUAGAUAUCGGGAGGAACACCAGUGGCGAAGGCGGCGACCUGGGCAGAUACUGACACUGAGGUGCGAAAGCGUGGGGAGCAAACAGGG